UAGGGAAUCUUCCACAAUGGACGCAAGUCUGAUGGAGCAACGCCGCGUGAGUGAAGAAGGUUUUCGGAUCGUGAAGCUCUGUUGUUGGUGAAGAAGGAUAGAGGUAGUAACUGGCCUUUAUUUGACGGUAAUCAACCAGAAAGUCACGGCUAACUACGUGCCAGCAGCCGCGGUAAUACGUAGGUGGCAAGCGUUGUCCGGAUUUAUUGGGCGUAAAGCGAGCGCAGGCGGAAGAAUAAGUCUGAUGUGAAAGCCCUCGGCUUAACCGAGGAACUGCAUCGGAAACUGUUUUUCUUGAGUGCAGAAGAGGAGAGUGGAAUUCCAUGUGUAGCGGUGGAAUGCGUAGAUAUAUGGAAGAACACCAGUGGCGAAGGCGACUCUCUGGUCUGCAACUGACGCUGAGGCUCGAAAGCAUGGGUAGCGAACAGG
rnacentral:rRNA from 1 species